rnacentral:rRNA from 1 species
UACAGAGGGUGCAAGCGUUAAUCGGAAUUACUGGGCGUAAAGCGCGCGUAGGUGGUUCGUUAAGUUGGAUGUGAAAUCCCCGGGCUCAACCUGGGAACUGCAUUCAAAACUGUCGAGCUAGAGUAUGGUAGAGGGUGGUGGAAUUUCCUGUGUAGCGGUGAAAUGCGUAGAUAUAGGAAGGAACACCAGUGGCGAAGGCGACCACCUGGACUGAUACUGACACUGAGGUGCGAAAGCGUGGGUAGCAAACAG